UUUCCCUUUUUUUGUGAGUUGCUUUGGAUAAAAGCAUCUGCUAAAUGACUAAAU
rfam:Larimichthys crocea isolate SSNF unplaced genomic scaffold scaffold672, whole genome shotgun sequence.